GACGAACGCUGGCGGCGUGCCUAAUACAUGCAAGUUGAGCGCUGAAGGUUGGUACUUGUACCAACUGGAUGAGCAGCGAACGGGUGAGUAACGCGUGGGGAAUCUGCCUUUGAGCGGGGGACAACAUUUGGAAACGAAUGCUAAUACCGCAUAAAAACUUUAAACACAAGUUUUAAGUUUGAAAGAUGCAAUUGCAUCACUCAAAGAUGAUCCCGCGUUGUAUUAGCUAGUUGGUGAGGUAAAGGCUCACCAAGGCGAUGAUACAUAGCCGACCUGAGAGGGUGAUCGGCCACAUUGGGACUGAGACACGGCCCAAACUCCUACGGGAGGCAGCAGUAGGGAAUCUUCGGCAAUGGACGAAAGUCUGGCCGAGCAACGCCGCGUGAGUGAAGAAGGGUUUCGGAUCGUAAAACUCUGUUGGUAGAGAAGAACGUUGGUGAGAGUGGAAAGCUCAUCAAGUGACGGUAACUACCCAGAAAGGGACGGCUAACUACGUG
rnacentral:rRNA from 1 species